rnacentral:rRNA from 1 species
UACGUAGGGGGCAAGCGUUAUCCGGAUUUAUUGGGUUUAAAGGGUGCGUAGGCGGAUCGUCAAGUCAGUGGUCAAAUUGAGGGGCUCAACCCCUUCCCGCCAUUGAAACUGGCGAUCUUGAGUGGAAGAGAAGUAUGCGGAAUGCGUGGUGUAGCGGUGAAAUGCAUAGAUAUCACGCAGAACCCCGAUUGCGAAGGCAGCAUGCCGGCUUCCGACUGACGCUGAAGCACGAAAGCGUGGGGAUCGAACAGG